AAACCAGCACCUCAAGUGGUCAGGAGGAUUAUUGGGCCUAAAGCAUCCGUAGCCUGUUCUAUAAGUUUCCGGUUAAAUCCACUAGCUCAACUAGUGGGCUGCCGAAAAUACUGGAGAACUAGGGAGUGGGAGAGGUAGACGGUAUUCGGUAGGAAGGGGUAAAAUCCUUUGAUCUAUUGAGGACCACCUGUGGCGAAGGCGGUCUACCAGAACACGUUCGACGGUGAGGGAUGAAAGCUGGGGGAGCAAACCGGAUUAGAAACCCCAGUAGUCC
rnacentral:rRNA from 1 species